UACGAACUGUGCGAACGUUAUUCGGAAUCACUGGGCUUACAGGGUGCGUAGGCGGCCUUCCAAGUCAGGUGUGAAAUCCCCCGGCCCAACCGGGGAACAGCGCUUGAAACUGGUUGGCUUGAGUCAGCUAGAGGGACACGGAACUUCCGGUGGAGCGGUGAAAUGUGUUGAUAUCGGAAGGAACACCAGAGGCGAAAGCGGUGUCCUGGAGCUGGUCUGACGCUGAGGCACGAAAGCCAGGGGAGCGAACGGG
rnacentral:rRNA from 1 species